GUAUAAGGACUGGGAGCUGCAGUACGUCUCACUGGAGACAGAGGAAGUGAAGAUCUCCACCUUCUUACCCGGUAAUUUGCCGCUUUCUUCUGAAGUUCUUAAAUCUGCCAAUGGAACAAUCAGACUCAAGGUGUCCUGCCGGACUGCAAUACCUGACUCAGGUAAGACUGUACCAAAUGACAUCAGAUCCACUCCUGCACCAUUUACACCUACGGGCAAUUUGGCAGCUCCGAUUAACCUCAACAUGUUUUGGAC